AACGAACGCUGGCGGCAUGCCUAACACAUGCAAGUCGAACGAGACCUUCGGGUCUAGUGGCGCACGGGUGCGUAACGCGUGGGAACCUGCCCUUAGGUUCGGAAUAACUCCCCGAAAGGGGUGCUAAUACCGGAUAAUGUCUUCGGACCAAAGAUUUAUCGCCGUUGGAUGGGCCCGCGUUGUAUUAGCUAGUUGGUAGGGUAAAAGCCUACCAAGGCGACGAUCCAUAGCUGGUCUGAGAGGAUGAUCAGCCACACUGGGACUGAGACACGGCCCAGACUCUUACGGGAGGCAGCAGUGGGUAAUAUUGGACAAUGGGCGAAAGCCUGAUCCAGCAAGGCCGCGUGAGUGAUGAAGGCCUGAGGGUUGUAAAGCUCGUUUACCCGGGAUGAUAAUGACAGUACCGGGAGAAUAAGCUCCGGCUAACUCCGUG
rnacentral:rRNA from 1 species